GACGAACGCUGGCGGCGNGCUUAACACAUGCAAGUCGAGCGGUAAGGCCCUUUCGGGGGUACACGAGCGGCGAACGGGUGAGUAACACGUGGGUGACCUGCCCUCAGCUCUGGGAUAAGCCUGGGAAACCGGGUCUAAUACUGGAUAUGACUCCAUGACGCAUGUUGUGGGGUGGAAAGCCUUGUGCGGCUGAGGAUGGGCCCGCGGCCUAUCAGCUUGUUGGUGGGGUGAUGGCCUACCAAGGCGACGACGGGUAGCCGGCCUGAGAGGGCGACCGGCCACACUGGGACUGAGACACGGCCCAGACUCCUACGGGAGGCAGCAGUGGGGAAUCUUGCGCAAUGGGCGAAAGCCUGACGCAGCGACGCCGCGUGAGGGAUGACGGCCUGGUU
rnacentral:rRNA from 1 species